AUUGAACGCUGGCGGCAUGCUUUGCACAUGCAAGUCGAACGGCAGCGCGGGCUUCGGCCUGGCGGCGAGUGGCGAACGGGUGAGUAAUACAUCGGAACGUGCCCAGUAGUGGGGGAUAGCUCGGCGAAAGCCGGAUUAAUACCGCAUACGACCUGAGGGUGAAAGCGGGGGAUCUUCGGACCUCGCGCUAUUGGAGCGGCCGAUGGCAGAUUAGCUAGUUGGUGGGGUAAAGGCCUACCAAGGCGACGAUCUGUAGCUGGUCUGAGAGGACGACCAGCCACACUGGGACUGAGACACGGCCCAGACUCCUACGGGAGGCAGCAGUGGGGAAUUUUGGACAAUGGGCGAAAGCCUGAUCCAGCAAUGCCGCGUGUGUGAUGAAGGCCUUCGGGUUGUAAAGCACUUUUGGCGGGAACGAAAAGGACUGUGCCAAUACCACGGUUCGAUGACGGUACCCGCAGAAUAAGCACCGGCUAACUACGUG
rnacentral:rRNA from 1 species